rnacentral:misc_RNA from 1 species
UCUUCAGCACUGACGGUAUGGACUCAAAUGCUUUUCUCUUUGUUUGCUUUUGUUUGGAAUUAAUUCUCUAAGGGGUGUCUUUGAUUUCCUUGAAAGUAGAUUGUUGAAUUCCUGAUAUAAUCACAAUUGGAAUAUUCUUUUGCGGAAUUGUUGCCACAAACAAAUGCAUAAUACUGAAAAUUUAAUAAAGUAAUUUCUUUUGUAUGCUUUUGAGCUGAUUCAUUAACAUAUAAGUUGAUAUUGUUGAGCUAAGUGGUUUAUUGGGUUGCUUAGGAGAGGUUCCCUACAGAGAAGGA